UACGGAGGGGGCUAGCGUUGUUCGGAAUUACUGGGCGUAAAGCGCACGUAGGCGGCUUUGUAAGUUAGAGGUGAAAGCCCGGGGCUCAACUCCGGAAUUGCCUUUAAGACUGCAUCGCUAGAAUUGUGGAGAGGUAAGUGGAAUUCCGAGUGUAGAGGUGAAAUUCGUAGAUAUUCGGAAGAACACCAGUGGCGAAGGCGACUUACUGGACACAUAUUGACGCUGAGGUGCGAAAGCUGGGAGGCAAACAGG
rnacentral:rRNA from 1 species